rnacentral:rRNA from 1 species
GGUUGCGAUCAUACCAGCACUAAUGCACCGGAUCCCAUCAGAAUUCCGCAGUUAAGCGUGCUUGGGCGAGAGUAGUACUAGGAUGGGUGACCCCCUGGGAAGUCCUCGUGUUGCAACCC